CCCCAGCCCGGGACACUCGGAGUUCCAGGCCUCCGCGCCCGCGCCCGAGGGCGCCCUCUCCGAAACGGCCACUUGCUCUCCGUUCCUCCUCCGCUUGCCUGUGUGUCAAUCAACACACACUGCCGCUUGCUUGACAGCGCUGUGCUGAGUAGUAGGACACGAGGUAUUGGGAUUCUUCCUGUUGCUGUAAACUCUUAUUUCUGUAUAGCGCUUACACAGCGUUUGCACCUUUGUGAUCUCGUGCAACACUUACUGGGCACCUACUGUGUUCGCCGCCCUGUGCUGGAUGCUGCGUCCACAGGGACACUCCCGGCCUCAAAGGGUUGGAGUGGGCGCGCAGAUCACGAUGUGAAAACGCACAUGCACAUCUUCCGGCCCCACCGCAGAACCGGGGUCCUCCCGGCGCCGCGGGCUGAGGCCAGCCAAUGAGAGGCACGCGGAAGGGCUGCAAGUCUGAAGCGCUCAGAAGAUGAGACGAUAUGAUGGACCGACGGACUCAAGGACAGAGAGGCCGAGAGAUUCGGGGGCCUGUGAGAGUAAGAUGUUAAUGGCAGCGAAAGGCCACGUCCUCCCAGCUCCAUUUGUGACUGGACGAGCGGACCGCACCGUGUGAGUCAGCCUGUUGUGGAAGCGUCUGAGAGUCAUUGCUCUGACUGUGCUGACGAAGCACAGAGAAGAAGGAAGGCCUGACCCCUGCCAGCCCGGAUGUUCCCUGAGGGCCUCUUGCUCUUCUCCACACUGUGGCCAGAGGCCUCUGUCACAGGCAUUAAUCUGGGCUUGUCUGUGUCCUGCCUAACAGCUUCAGGAGGAAGUCACCCUGUGCCCCAGCGCCGAGGCCUGCCCUCUGGAACUUGUCUCUUUGAGGUCCUCACCACGCCUCCAGCCCUGGGCUGGGCCAGGACACCCGGCUCUGUAUUCUCACAGCUCUUGCUCCCCUGACCUUAACACUCAUCCCAGCUGGAGGUUGGAGGUCGUGACUCCUCCUUUGCUGUCUUUCCCAGUGGAGUGUAGGCCCCUCCACAGCGGGGGCCAAGCUGUAGGCUGUGCAGAGCCCACGGCGGGCCCACCGGCAUUUGAUGAUGACAGGAAGCGCUCCUCACAUUCCACUGUAACUGCACGUCUUUCUUUGAGGGCAGACCUGCAGUUGGUUCAUUUCUAUAUCCUCAGCUUUUACUCUGAUCAAAGACCUGGCUCCACAUUCCAAAGGUGUGUGGGCUCUGAUUUCAGUGACCAGGUAGGCCUUUCCGUGACCUGGCCGGGAACGGGCUCCAAGGUCCAUCGCCCACGCUCCACAUGCGGUGUGGGGAGCACAGCAAGGUCUCCUACCCUGAGGGAAGGAAAGGGUUACAGCACUCACCUCUCAGGGCCCUCCCACUCCACCCCCUGCGACAGGUGAGACAGAUGAGGGUAGUGGGUGUGGUCCCAGCAGCCCUGGGGCCCCAAGGAGCCGGGCCUCUCCUUCCAGGUUUAGAUCUGGAACAGGGCCAUGGUUUUGUCCACAGUUCCAACAGGUGUAAUGGCAAUGUCAGGGGGUCACAGUGAGUGUCCUGGCUCCCCCGGCUGUGUUGAGACACAGAGCCAUGAGGCCCCCUUCUUCACAGGUCUCAUGGGUGUCGUGGUUCCUCCCUGAGGCAGCCAGGGGCUGGGCUGCUUGAACAUCAAUCCUUUCAAAUCAUAUCAUUAAAAUCUACUCCCACACCUGUAUUUCAAAGAUAACAUUUGUGCCUGAAAUUGCCACAACUACAUUAUGGCAAAGUCACAUCAUCUGGCUCAUAAUUUAAGGCUUAGAGGCUUCAACUAAUGUAGGUGACAGUCUGGUGGCCAAAAGGAGAAAGUCUGAUUACCAAGUGGCAUUUGCUGGGAGGUCUGGGUCCCCUCCAGCACCUCACGCACAUGUGCAUAAGAGGCACUCAGUGAGUGUUUGUGGAAUCUAUGAAUGAUAUGACGUUUCUAUCCUGAGUCUCAGGGUCUUUUUCUAUUCAGAAAUCUGUCCCCAGACCAGCCGGGUGGCUCAAUGGUUAAGUUCAGGGGCUCCACUUCAGCAGCCCGGGGUUCACAGGUUUGGCUCCUGGGCAUAGACCUAGCACCACUCGUUAAGCCACGCUGUGGAGGCAUCCCACAUAAAAUAGAGGAAGAUUGGUGCAGAUGUCAGCUCAGCAACAAUCUCCCUCACAAAAAAAAAAGAAAAGAAAUCUAUCCCCAAUUAUCACACACACUCACCACAGAGCAGGUCUUUGCUCACUGAAGGGAAGCAGGGCGUUGGCCCCAGUGAGCUGAUUCAGCCUUACAAUCUUUAAGUCACCAGAGCCAAAGAGGGGUGCAGGUGGGAAUCUUCUAGAACAUUGCUUUUCUCUGCAGAAAGAGGCAAUUAGCUAGUGUGUGGGGGGGUGGGGGGAGAUGUAGAAGGAAUACAGCCCAUUAGGUCUACAGAAGUGGCUGAAGCUGGUAUUUCUGCUUUCCCUUGGGAUAGGGGCUGCUGGAAGGUGCCCCUCCCACCCAACAGUGGGAUAGCCGCUGGGGUCAAAGUGGUGAACUUUGGAGACAGAAUUGGUUCCUCCCUAAUUAAGAGAUGUUAAGUAGGUAAACAAACACUGCGUAAGUGCUACAAAGGAGAUGCUACGUCCUUCUUAUCAUAUCAUCACAUCACUCCUUCUUCCCUCCCCAGAGUUAAGCUGUGGUGGGUCCCAGGAUCUAAUCUACACUGUUGCCACAGCACCCAAGAAAAUGUUAAAAAUUACCAUCUCUAGUGCUGUGACUAUGGAAGAUGCUUGAUUUUUUUCCUAUCAUAUGAAUGCGUUUUAUUUUAUUUGUUUUUGCCAAAUUUUUAUAAUGAACAUGUCAUAUUCACAAAACAAAGGGCUAAAGCCAAUAGAGUUAUUUUCAGAAGAAAGGAGACUGAGUGGAUUCCUGUAGAGGAGAAAAUUUUCCCAGCCCAGCUUGGAGGGAGGGGCCUUCUGAUGAUCCCGUCCAGCCUGAUGGCCACCGUGGGCGGGUUCUGACCACUGGGUGACCUGCACCCAGGGUUAUGUGAAAUUCAUGAGAACCAUUUCUAAGUGGUUAAAGAAAGAUGAGCUACUUAUAAAUUCCUUCCUUUAACAGCUGAUAUCUUCAACCUUCCUUCCCCACUCACUCUCAGCUAUGUAGGGGAGGGGCGGGGGAGGUGGUAGAAAUGGGGGAACCCCAGUCCUCUUGCUCCCACUCCUGCUCCCACACAAAGCUGGGCUGGCACAGGCAGCUUAUUCCAGUGCAGUGGACUUCCCUGAAAACGAGCCAGAACUUCGUGAGUUCCCAUGGCGGUCCUGGCCUGGGCCAGGGGCUGUGCUGUAAUGAAAGAGCAGACGUUAUCAUCUUCAUUCUAGAGAAAGGACAAUUUCAUCAGAAAGACAAAGCACAAGCAAAAUAAACAUCUGAAGAACACUGGCCCAAAUAAUGUAAUUAGAUAGGAUUUCAGGGAUUGAAUUCUUUUUGUAUUACAAAAUACAUCUUAUUUUGGUUUCACAAAUAAUGCUUAUAUGAAAAAACUUUUCUCCAUACGUUCACCCAGGGCGGCUUCAUGGAUGUGCAACCUAUGCGGUCACACGUGCUCAGAAGGGUCCCACACUUGGUGUAAUGCUCUGCCGUCACCAUCUUGAAAUUCUCAACGAUUUGAUCGUUGAACUUGGGUUUUGUAAGUGAACUCCAUCGGUGGAGGGAGCAGAAGAGAUGCACGCACUAUGCCAGUCCACAGUUCCUUGCUGACCACUCACAUAUGGUGUUCACCGUGCCCUGUGAGCGCUGAACUGGGGGGACCCACGCCGCGUGGGAGGUCAGCAAGACACAGUGAAGACAAAGUAAGUGUCUUACAUCUCUGACUAGGUGGGGCUGAUAACAGACCCAAGAUGUCACACUUUCUGUUGGGACCAGAAUUUGCUUCAAAUGCAGAAAAAGGCAAUGGCGUUCAAAGGACAUAAACGACCAAGGACUUCUGCCACAUGCUUUCUUACUCGUGUGACUUCCCUGUAUUAGCCAACCACUUCAUGCUGAAAACGACGACAUAGAAGGAAAGAGAAAGAAGAUAGUGCCUUCUCUUUUCUGUCCUUCCUUACUCAUCAGUGAGCCAAAGGUAGAGAAUAGGGUAGAAUGUGCGCACGUUAGGAAGUGAAAUAAACACAGUGGAGUAUUUCCACUUUCUAGUAAGAACGAAAUACAGAUGCGUGUACAAACAAAACACAGACUGUGUAAUUUCACCCAUUCUACAUACAAGUUAAAAGCUCUCAUAUUUGCAUUUAAAAUGACAUUGCACAAUAUAAAAAUGAAAGAUAAAAUUCAUGCUAAUAAUUCUAAUGUUUAAUUUUUCUUUACUUAACAACAUUAAAGAGCAAAUUAAAAAACACUAUGAGAAGCUGAGAGAAAGACUACAGGAGAAGGGAAAAAGCUUUCUAUUUCAAC
ensembl:lncRNA